UGAGGUAUCUGCCUGGUCCUAAAUCCAGCCAGCUGAAAGGCUUUGAGGUAUCUGCCUGGUCCUAAAUCCAGCCAGCUGAAAGGCUUUGAGGUAUCUGCCUGGUCCUAAAUCCAGCCAGCUGAAAGGCUUUGAGGUAUCUGCCUGGUCCUAAAUCCAGCCAGCUGAAAGGCUUUGAGGUAUCUGCCUGGUCCUAAAUCCAGCCAGCUGAAAGGCUUUGAGGUAUCUGCCUGGUCCUAAAUCCAGCCAGCUGAAAGGCUUUGAGGUAUCUGCCUGGUCCUAAAUCCAGCCAGCUGAAAGGCUUUGAGGUAUCUGCCUGGUCCUAAAUCCAGCCAGCUGAAAGGCUUUGAGGUAUCUGCCUGGUCCUAAAUCCAGCCAGCUGAAAGGCUUUGAGGUAUCUGCCUGGUCCUAAAUCCAGCCAGCUGAAAGGCUUUGAGGUAUCUGCCUGGUCCUAAAUCCAGCCAGCUGAAAGGCUUUGAGGUAUCUGCCUGGUCCUAAAUCCAGCCAGCUGAAAGGCU